rnacentral:rRNA from 1 species
UACAGAGGGGGCAAGCGUUAUUCGGAAUUACUGGGCGUAAAGGGCGCGUAGGCGGCCUGCUAAGUCGAACGUGAAAUCCCCGGGCUCAACCCGGGAACUGCGUCCGAUACUGGCAGGCUUGAAUCCGGGAGAGGGAUGCGGAAUUCCAGGUGUAGCGGUGAAAUGCUUAGAUAUGACAUAGAACACCUAUUGCGAAGGCAGCUUACUACGCAUAUAUUGACGCUGAGGCACGAAAGCGUGGGGAUCAAACAGG